rnacentral:rRNA from 1 species
UACGUAGGGUGCGAGCGUUGUCCGGAUUUAUUGGGCGUAAAGCGCGUGUAGGCGGCCACGCAGGUCCGCUGUGAAAACUCGAGGCUCAACCUCGAGCUGUCGGUGGAAACCGCGUGGCUAGAGUCCGGAAGAGGAGACUGGAAUUCCCGGUGUAGCGGUGGAAUGCGCAGAUAUCGGGAGGAACACCCGUGGCGAAGGCGGGUCUCUGGGACGGUACUGACGCUGAGACGCGAAAGCGUGGGGAGCGAACAGG